rnacentral:rRNA from 1 species
GACGAACGCUGGCGGCGUGCUUAACACAUGCAAGUCGAACGCUGAAGACCUGGCUUUUGUUGGGUUGGAUGAGUGGCGAGCGGGUGAGUAACACGUGAGUAACCUGCCCUCUUCUUUGGGAUAACGCCCGGAAACGGGUGCUAAUACUGGAUAUUCACUGAUCUUCGCAUGGGGGUUGGUGGAAAGGUUUGUUCUGGUGGGGGAUGGGCUCGCGGCCUAUCAGCUUGUUGGUGGGGUGAUGGCCUACCAAGGCUUUGACGGGUAGCCGGCCUGAGAGGGUGACCGGUCACAUUGGGACUGAGAUACGGCCCAGACUCCUACGGGAGGCAGCAGUGGGGAAUAUUGCACAAUGGGCGAAAGCCUGAUGCAGCGACGCCGCGUGAGGGAUGGAGGCCUUCGGGUUGUAAACCUCUUUCGCUCAUGGUCAAGCCGCAACUGUGGGUUGUGGUGAGGGUAGUGGGUAAAGAAGCGCCGGCUAACUACGUG